rnacentral:rRNA from 1 species
UAGGGGAAUUUUGGACAAUGGGCGCAAGCCUGAUCCAGCCAUGCCGCGUGCAGGAUGAAGGCCUUCGGGUUGUAAACUGCUUUUGUACGGAACGAAAAGCCUCUUUCUAAUAAAGAGGGU